CAGUAGCCGCGGGAAUACGUAGGUGGCAAGCGUUGUCCGGAAUUAUUGGGCGUAAAGGGCUAGCAGGCGGUUUCUUAAGUCUGAUGUGAAAGCCCCCGGCUCAACCGGGGAGGGUCAUUGGAAACUGGGAAACUUGAGUGCAGAAGAGGAGAGUGGAAUUCCACGUGUAGCGGUGAAAUGCGUAGAGAUGUGGAGGAACACCAGUGGCGAAGGCGACUCUCUGGUCUGUAACUGACGCUGAGGAGCGAAAGCGUGGGGAGCGAACAGGAUUAGAUACCCGCGUAGUCCCUGUCUCUUAUAU
rnacentral:rRNA from 1 species